rnacentral:rRNA from 1 species
GUGCCUAACACAUGCAAGUCGAACGGUAACAGGGACUUCGGUCCGCUGACGAGUGGCGCACGGGUGAGUAACGCGUGGAGUUACCUACCCAUCAGUGAGGAACAACCUGGAGAAAUCCAGGCUAAUACCGCAUACGACCUUCGGGUGAAAGAGGGGGAUCUUCGGACCUCUSGCUGAUGGAUGGUUCCGCGUCCGAUUAGUUAGUUGGUAAGGUAAUGGCUUACCAAGACGAUGAUCGGUAGCUGGUUUGAGAGGAUGAUCAGCCACACUGGAACUGAGACACGGUCCAGACUCCUACGGGAGGCAGCAGUGGGGAAUUUUGCACAAUGGGCGCAAGCCUGAUGCAGCGACGCCGCGUGCGGGAAGAAGGCCUUCGGGUUGUAAACCGCUUUCAACAGGGAAGAAGGAAUGAGGGUCAAUACCCCUCUGCCUUGACGGUACCUGUAGAAGAAGCCCCGGCUAAUUUCGUGCCAGCAGCCGCGGUAAUACGAAAGGGGCAAGCGUUGUUCGGAUUUACUGGGCGUAAAGAGAUCGUAGGUGGCUUGUUAAGUCGGAUGUGAAAUCCCGGGGCUCAACCCCGGAACUGCAUUCGAUACUGGCAGGCUUGAGUUCGGGAGGGGGAAGCGGAAUUCCGUGUGUAGCAGUGAAAUGCGUAGAUAUACGGAGGAACACCUGAGGCGAAGGCGGCUUCCUGGACCGAUACUGACACUGAGGAUCGAAAGCGUGGGUAGCAAACAGGAUUAGAUACCCUGGUAGUCCACGCCCUAAACGAUGUCUACUAGCCGUUGCGGGUAUCGACCCCUGCAGUGGCGCAGCUAACGCGAUAAGUAGACCGCCUGGGGAGUAC